CUCAACGCGGCGGACACUCGCUUGCUGGAGGGUGGUUUCAGUCCUCUGCUCUUCCGCCUGGAUAGCUGCGGUCACACUUACUGCCAGGCAAGCCUACUGUGCCCUUUGUCGCCCUGUCCUCCCAUCUUCCCCGGAAGGUUGGGAACUGCAGGCUCAGCACACACAAUAAGGCUUCAUUUGCUUAGUUGAGGUCCCAGGACAAGUUGCCUGUGUGUUUAUUUAGUUUUCUUUUGAUCUCCCACCAUUUUCUCUUAGUUUCAAAAAGAGGCGGCGAUGCAGAGUCGUUUAGGCAAUCAACCCUCCCACGUCCCCUGGCUCAGCUAAUGCUGGUGGUCAUUCGUUGCCAUUUCUGCGAAAGGGGACGGACGGAACCGCCCGCAGUACCCGCUUGCCACCGGCUGGACGAGGGGGAGGGACGACAGCUUUUACUGUCCCAAAUCCUGAGAUUAAGACCUCAGGGCUAAAUCUUGCGUGGCGGUAAAAAUUAUUUGGAAGUUCUGUGCAACCGUUCCAAUAUUCCGCUUUUACGUGCACGGAAAUAGCCUAAGUCCAGAUGCCAGCCAGGGAAGCCACUCCGGGCCCCGCUGACUAAGCCCUGGACUGAUGGUCUGGAGUCUUUAGGCCGGGUCAACUAUGACUCUUGACGUUGACUCAUUCUCCUUAGGCGAGUGACUUAAUCGCUCGGCGUCUCAGCUUUUUUAUUUAUGAACCAAAGGUGAUGAUACACUUACCUCACAAGGGUGUGCUUCGUAAUGACUGUAACCGGCUUUGAAAAUGCAUCGGACUCUAGAAAUGAUUCAUAAUAAGCAACUGCGUGCCUUCCUAAAGAUCAAGUGCUUCUGCUUUUUUUUUUUAGCAAAGUUUAAAUUUUUUUCUGUUUACUUUGUUUGAUUAUGAUGUACACCAGUGUAGUUUUAAAUGUUCAGGACCAUUUUUUUUCCUUUACAACUGCAGCUGCCCUCAAUAGAGGCUUUAAUGUUCAUGAAAUUAUUGUUAUGCUCACAACAAUCACUGGCAAUCAGAAAUUUGUCCCCACACUGGCAUCCUACAUUUCCUUUCCCUCUAAGAUACUGUGCUGUCAUUUCUCAAGACCGUGUUUUUUGCACAGUUUGGCUACUAAUAACAACAAAUAGAGAUGAAGAAAUCUAGUAGACUCCUAAGGUUCUAAUGAAGAAGACACUGUCUCAUUACUAUUUCCCAUGCUUUUAAAUAAUGUUGACACCAGGAAAAGGAGUGUAUGCAGGCUGCCUGUGCCUGUCUGCUUAUAGUGUUAAUGAGGUCCAGAGCUGUGUCAUACCUAUUAUUGAGUACAUAAUGGAUGCUUGAGUUGACUAACACAUAAUUGAGGCUGUAUGAGAACUCAAAGCCAUUGCCUGUUCAUAUGUUUUGGUUUACCUGAAUAUCAGAAGUGAUUAAUGAAAGCUUUUGUCUAGUGGGCUUAGCUCUACUAGGUUUUAAAGUAGAUAGAAUUAACAGGCCAGGCGCAGUGGCCCACGCCUGUAAU
rnacentral:lncRNA from 1 species